rnacentral:rRNA from 1 species
AGGAAUAUUGGUCAAUGGACGCAAGUCUGAACCAGCCAUGCCGCGUGAAGGAUGAAUGUCGUAAGAUUGUAAACUUCUUUUAUCUGGGACGCAACACUUCUUUUCUACGAGGCCUGACGGUACCAGAUGAAUAAGCACCGGCUAACUCCGUGCCAGCAGCCGCGGUAAUACGGAGUGUGCAAGCGUUAUCCGGAUUCACUGGGUUUAAAGGGUGCGUAGGUGGGUAUGUAAGUCAGUGGUGAAAUCCCCGAUCUUAACUUGGGAACUGCCAUUGAUACUAUAUAUCUUGAAGUCCGUAGAGGUAGGUGGAAUAUGUCAUGUAGCGGUGAAAUGCUUAGAUAUGACAUGGAACACCAAUUGCGAAGGCAGCUUACUAAGCGGUGAUUGACACUGAGGCACGAAAGCGUGGG